GCACGGCUCCUCCUCGCAGCCCGCAGCGCCCCGGCCCCAUCGCCGCCGCCUCCUCCCGCCGCGCCGCCUCCGCCUCCUCCUCCUCCUCCUCCUCCUCCUCCUCUGCCUCCUCCCCUCGCCCGGGGCACCGGCGGCGCUGCGGAGGGGACGCUCCCGGUGCGGGGGCGGGGAGGGAGGAGGAGGAGGAGGAGGAGGAGGAGGAAGGCUCCGGCCCCGCUCGGCCGGCAGCGCAACGGCGGCCCCCGGAUGGUGCUGGCUGCCUGUAAACAGCAUUCCGAGGGGGGAGAAAUCCAAACCCAAUUUAAUUUUCUUGUCUCAAACAUCACCUCUUCCCCCCGGAUUUGUUGAAAACCAGCUCUCGAAGAGCCUCGGCCGGUGAGAAAGCCCCUUUGCAACCCUUUCCCCAGCUUCUGCGCCGCUUUGCAUCGGGAAGCCCAACCUCACCGGGGCCAAUCUCCCGCGAACUGACCCUAAAACUUGUUUCUUUACAUCAAAAGAGAGGGAGUUUUGCCUUUUCCCCGUGUGUGCCAGCCUCGCCGCUGCCAAACAACUUCAAAUCCACCCGCGGUGCCGCUGCCCUCCCCGAGCCAGGGGCUCGGGCAGGGCAAAGCCCCGUCGGGGUUUUUGCAGACACGUGUGGAUGGAGGCGCUGGGAACUCUUGCAAAUGCCGAAAUUUCACUCGUUAAAAAAAAAACCAACAACCAAACCCCAAAUGCAACCAGGAAAUGUUUCCUCACUUGAUUUUUUUUUUUUUUUUUUUUUUUCUUUUUCGCAGAAAGAAAUAAAUCAAGUGCGGCCACUCUCCUAGGGCUGCUUUGUCAUGUCUGUUGGGGAAUUUGGGGAAAUUUCUGGAGUGGGAGGAAUGGGGAGAAAUACGGCCCCAUCUCUUUGUUUGGUGUGUGCGCAUCCACAUUUGCUUUUUUUCCCCUCCCUGCAGAUGGAGCGGGCAGGCAGGGGCUCCUGCCAUCGUCCCUGCGCCGCUCGGCAGAGCCACCAAACUGCUGCGGAC
rnacentral:lncRNA from 1 species